AAAACGGCCCUUCUCAGGGCCAACAAAUCUAAUCGAAGUCUUUUUCU
rnacentral:ncRNA from 1 species